GGCUCACAAAAAUAAUCUUCAAAAUAAGAAGACAAGCAAUUUAAUAUAUCAAAACUAAAGAGUUAUGUAGACAUAAGUAAAGGUUAGUCGACAUAUCAAAAUAAUAUCAUCAAAAUCAUAGAAGGGAAGACUAAAGAACGUUAGGCUCCUAUUUAUAAGAAUCCGAGUAUCGCGAUGAUCCUAAUUGUUGGUGGCCUAAUAUUUUAGGCCAAUAAUGAGUUUCAAAAUAGAAACUCUAGCUCUCCAAUUGUACAUGAAAUAUAAGAAGACGAAAAGAAUUAGCAAGUGGACUCUAUAUUUAUCACAAUACAUAAUAUUAUGUAGUCACGUGCAUAUGAAUAUGUUUUUAUAAUAUAAUGGAAGGUUUAAUGUAUCUGCAUCCAUUUCUGAAGCAUAGGAGCAUAUGUUUAUUCUUUUUAAGUCUAAUAAAACAAGCAAACAGUACUAUAUGUGGUUCCUAAAGAAAGAAUACAUGUUUAAUCCUAUGCCCCACAAGAUAUGCAAAGAUAACCAACAAAUAACAAGAUAAAAUAUGAAGUGGAGGUCCAAUACUUAGAGUGGAAUCAAGAUGAAAUAAAAUACAUGGGACAAGGGCUAAGUUCACAGAAUCAUGUAUGACGCCAAAACAACAAAUAUCUUAGACUAUUGACAGAUGGAUUAAUGAGACUAUCAAUUGAUAGACUAAGUUCGGCUACAUCAGAUGCAAAACAUUAUGCUUUAACAUAGGAUUCUUCUAGUCACAACAGAGAAAGGAAAAAGAUUUAAAAGUUUCUAAAGUUAACCAUAUAGACAAAUUUCAAGAUAGGUUAGGAUUUCAAAAGCAACAAAUAAAAGAAAGUAUGUAUGCUAGUACGUAGACCAUGGUUUGUCAACAUGGUGAACAAAUCUUGCUUAACACAAACUAUGAAAUCUUAACAAAACAAGUUCGAAGCCAAACAUUAGAUUCAUUUAGAUAAGGUUGAGAAGGAAACUUUAAGACAUAAUUUGUACAACAAGUAUUAAGGGGAUGCAUGAUUAAGUCGUUGGGGGUAUUUUGAGCAUACUUUUGAAAGAAACAGAGAUUAAAAUAUAAUUGAUUAUAUCCUUAUGCUAAAAAUAGAUGUUAACUCUUAUUACAAAAACCAAUUUUGAUUACACAAGAUCAUAGCAUAGCGAAUUUUGCACACUAUAACGAAAUUCGAACUUAUUAGUCUAACAGGAGUAAUACUAACUAAAGGGCAAAACACAUUGUUCGUAACAACUCAUUCAUUGAAGCAUGUUGGUAAAACAGGAAAUAAUGUUUAAAGGAUAGCCACUGGGACAUUAAGACCACAUACGAAAUAAUGCAUGCAGGUGGUAGUUCCAUGGAAGAAAUUACACGGUAAAGAGAAAACUCACAUGUACUGCCAAACUAGAGAAAUAAAAAAUAAAAAUAAAAAAGGAAAUAUCUAGUCAAAUGUCCAUUAAUAACCAUGAGGUCCUCCUACAUGCAUAUGUCUUUUAAAAACACACACACACAAAAUCUGCUCAUCAUGAGUAUAUAUUCUAGCUCAUAUCGAUCAUUCUACGUACUAAAAUUCGAUAAUCACACGUAGAGCGAGGUAUAAUUUCAGCCGAGUUAUAAUCCCAAAAAAAUAGACACAAAAUGAAACUUGAGAGAGAAUUACAGACGUUCAAACAUUCUUAUGUUCGUUUUUAUGAAUCGUAACUAAAUAAAGAAUGUGAGCAAUGACCUUAUUAACAAGGUUAUAAAGCAAAAGUAAAAGAAAAAUGUUACCGGAGAAGACGGAAUACGAGAGAGGGAAUAGACCAAGAUUGAUUAUAUUCUAGUUAGUUCGAUCUGCCUCAAGUUAAUAGGUAAAUGCCCAUUAAGCUUCCUUGAUUUUACAUGAACAUAGGCAAAUUUAUUAUGAGUCAACACUUUUGAAAGGAGAAGAAAAAGAUGCAGCUGUCCAAUUCUUCAUAUUAAAAAGCUAUCCUAAUUUAAUACUUCCACACUACCAUCCAUCAAAGAAACAACAUAAGAGAGGAAAUUAAUUCCAUAUUGGAAAAUUGAGCCGGUAGAUCUUAAGAGUUAAAAAAAUGGCUCACUCAUACUUAGAAAAUGAUUAUUCAGACAAAGCUUGGUUAUUCUUGAAAAAACAAAAUUUUAGAAUCGAGUCUCCUCGAACAUUAAAUGAAAUCUGACUUGCGAAACAACAAGAUGACUUAUGAAAAAUCUAAGGCGCAACACAUCUGUCCAAACACGGAUAUCACUUAGCAGCGGAGAGCAACAUAAAUCAAGCAAGCUAAAAAUUUAACAAAAUUCAUAUAUAGAACUCAGAAUCAGUAACAUAGACAGGUGUUGUGUUUUCUAAGCCGAUUUCAAUUCGAAUUUACAUUGAUUUACAACACAAAAAAAUGUGGAUUUCUAUGGCUUAACAAGCAACAAAGUUAUAGCUUCCUGGAGAUAAAAAUGACUCUAAAGAGGAACAAAAUGAGCAGCCCUGAAUUGAUUAAAUCUUUCAGCACAUUCAACUAAAGUUUAUACCACAUUAGAUAGAUGCAAAAUACGCAAGAUCCACUUUUAAGCUCAAAAAAAUCUAAAAAAAAAAAAACCUUCAUCAGCUAUAAGUUCGAAAUGAUCGCAAGUCUUAAGUUUUGAAACUUAGGCUAACACAACAUAAGAUUUUAAACGAAGAAAAACAAGAUGAGAUCAAGACGUCAAGAGAUUAAAGUCAUGCUAGAAGAACAAUUCAUACAAAUCUGAAAACAGUAAUAAAACAUAAUUAUAUCAUGCUAGGCGAGGAGACUAUUAAAGCUAGAUUUUACAAGCCAUAACAUAAAAACUAUGUGAAGUUAUGGCUAAGUGUAUAUGAAGUAAUACACAAGCCACAAUUCUUAACAGGGGAUUCAAAACCCAACAACAUCGAUACACAUAUUCACAACAACUACAAGAAGCGAAAAGGACACUAGAGAAAAUAAUAUUGACGAAAGAGAAAACUAAACCUAACUUUUAUCGAUAAACAAACAUAUUAACUAAAAAAAGACAGAACUAAAUAAAGAUUCAAAAAAAAAAAGAAUUUUACCUUAUGUUGAGCAACAAACUAGAGCUUUGACGUCAAGAUUCAACUUCGAACUCCUUUCCCGACCUCGGAUUGUUUUUCUCCUUGUUUUUG
rnacentral:lncRNA from 1 species